CAAUAGCGUAUAUUAAAGUUGUUGCAGUUAAAAAGCUCGUAGUUGGACUUCUGCGGGUGGCGGCCGGUCGUGCUCGAAACGGGCGUGAACUUGGCGUGCUGCCCGCAUCUUUGGGGAGAUUGUGCGUGGCAUUAAGUUGUCGUGCAUGGGAUUCUCAUCAUUUACUGUGAAAAAAUUAGAGUGUUUAAAGCAGGCCUUUGCCUUGAAUACAUUAGCAUGGAAUAAUAAGAUAGGACCGUUGUCUAUUUUGUUGGUUUACAGAUGUCGGUAAUGAUUAAUAGGGAUAGUUGGGGGUAUUCGUAUUCAGUUGUCAGAGGUGAAAUUCUUGGAUUUACGGAAGACGAACUACUGCGAAAGCAUUUACCAAGGAUGUUUUCAUUAA
rnacentral:rRNA from 1 species